UACGGGGGGGGCAAGCGUUGUUCGGAAUUACUGGGCGUAAAGGGCUCGUAGGCGGCCAACUAAGUCAGACGUGAAAUCCCCAGGCUCAACCUGGGAACUGCGUCUGAUACUGGAUGGCUUGAAUCCGGGAGAGGGAUGCAGAAUUCCAGGUGUAGCGGUGAAAUGCGCAGAUAUCAGGAGGAACACCAACAGCGAAGGCAGCUCGCUGGGACGGUACUGACGCUGAGGCGCGAAAGCGUGGGGAGCGAACAGG
rnacentral:rRNA from 1 species